rnacentral:lncRNA from 1 species
GUUGGACACAAUACCUUUAUUUUAUUCAUAUAUUUUUACGUGGUGCUGAGGAAGGAACCUAGGGUAUCGCAUGUGCCAGGCAAGCGCUCUACCGCUGAGCCACAACCCCAGCCCCUCACUUCCUGACCUUUUAAAGUGAAGUGACAUCCAGGUGUGGUGGUGCACACCUGUAAUCUCAAAGGUUCUGGAGGCUGAGGCAGGAGGAUUGUGAGUUCAAACCCAGCCUCAGCAAUUUAGGCCCUAAGCAACUCGAAAUAAAAAAUAAAAAGUUCUUUAUGUGGCUUAGUGGUUAAGUGUUCCUGGGUUCAAUCCCUGGUACCUAAAUAAAUAAAUAAAAAUAAAGUAAAGUGACUAUGCAGGUCACCAAUCUCUAAGGUCUCUUUGUUUUCACAAAACUGUGUGUAUGGGGCUGGGGCUGUAGCUUAACUGUAGCAUGUGUGAGCACUGGGUUCAAUCCUUAGCACCACAUAAAAAAACAAAGGCAUGCUGUCCAUUAACAACUACAAAAAUAAUUUAAAAAAAAAAAGAGUGUAUUUGAACACUCAUCAGCUACUGGUCAUAACACUGCAAUAAUGUGCCUUUAAUAGGAGUCCCUCUUCAGCCUAGACCACCUAGAUCUACUAACACUCAAUCUCUGGUUCCUGAGGGAACAAGGUCUCUUUGAUUGUUCUGAGUACACCCCCGGGCUGAGGAUAUAGCACAAGGCCCUGGGUUCAAUCUCUAGCAUCACAAAAAAAAAAAGAAAAAAUAGUUUCCACUGAGUACACCCACUGCCAUGUUAUCUCCAACUAAUUUUGUUACAAGUCACUUCAUCUCAUAGCCCCCUGGACUGGCCAGUCCUAGAUCAUUGGAUUCAGUGACCAGAGCCAGUCCAGCAACCCUCUUCACAGCCCCAUUCAUUCCCCUUUCUCCCCGGUGGUUUCACUUCCUCCCCCAUUCAGCCCAGACUCCAGGAUUCAUGACAUCAGUCACUCACUUGCCAGCAUCCCAGUGUCCUCACCUUCUGCCCUUCUGCCACAUCCACCUGGUAGUUCCCCAGCUUUGGAUCAGCCAGCUUCCCAACCAUCUGUCAUCUCUACUUUCAUGCCUAGGCUGCCAAGAUGGCUGCAGGAAAACAUGCUAUUGAGUGGACCAGGGCCACGGCACACAUAUCUCCUCCAGCUCUGAAAUGUCUCCUCUUUUUCUAAAACUGAAAUUCCCUUGCUUUUCCUCCUCCAUGGUUAGGUCACACUUUCUCCCUUGCUUCAAGUCCCCUGCUUCCUCUCUGCUCCCACCUUCCUCCAGCUUAGCCCUGCUAGGAGGCGGUGGUUCACAACCAGGCUUGAGUGUGGGGGGGGGGGGGUUGGAGUAAACUGCAGAACUCUCUUUGGCAAGGUUUUUUUUCUCUUUUAAAGACAGAGGGAGAGAGGGAGAGAGAGAGAAUUUUAAUAUUUAUUUCUUAGUUUUCGGUGGACACAACAUCUUUGUUUGUAUGUAGUAUUAAGGAUCG